rnacentral:tRNA from 1 species
AGGGAUAUAGUUAAACAUAACGUUUGGUUUGCAAUCAAAAAGUAUUGAACAUAAUCAAUUAUCCUUA